rnacentral:rRNA from 1 species
UACGAAGGGUGCAAACGUUGCUCGGAAUUAUUGGGCGUAAAGCGCACGUAGGCGGCUUUGCAAGUCGGAUGUGAAAUCCCUCGGCUCAACCAAGGAAGUGCAUCCGAAACUGCAGAGCUUGAGUACCAAAGAGGAUCGCGGAAUUCCCGGUGUAGAGGUGAAAUUCGUAGAUAUCGGGAGGAACACCAGUGGCGAAGGCGACUACCUGGCCUGUUCUUGACGCUGAGGCGCGAAAGCUAGGGGAGCAAACGGG